UACGGGGGGGGCAAGCGUUGUUCGGAAUUACUGGGCGUAAAGGGCGCGUAGGCGGCCUGCUAAGUCGGACGUGAAAUCCCCAGGCUCAACCUGGGAACUGCGUCCGAUACUGGAUGGCUUGAAUUCGGGAGAGGGAUGCAGAAUUCCAGGUGUAGCGGUGAAAUGCGUAGAUAUCUGGAGGAAUACCGGUGGCGAAGGCGGCAUCCUGGACCGACAUUGACGCUGAUGAGCGAAAGCUAGGGGAGCAAACGGG
rnacentral:rRNA from 1 species